UAAAAAAAAAAAAAAGAAAAAGCAUCAACCUGCUUAAUUUUGAUCGUAAAAAUCAAUAAUUUUGAUUAAAAUUGACUAAACCCAUCACCAAAAUUGAAUUCCAUACACUUCUACUGCCAUUUUGAACAUAUAAAUACUUAUAUUUAUCAUCGGAAACCAUUACAAAUCAAGAGAGAAGUUUUAGAGAGAGAGAAACUUUGGCUCAAUAUUCCGGUCAAUAUGCUAAUUGUCAAUGAGAGUAACAUAAAUCAUUGUGAUGAUCACCUCAAUAGCUUUCAUAUGCACCCAACCAAAAUAAUUUUCAAAGCUGAAGAGGGAGACCAAAAACACACUACCACAACCUCUAUCCAUUAUCUAUGGCAAAAUGCUGUGAGUUAGAGGGAGUUCAAUCAGUGGUUGGAUGCCAGGGCAAGUCGAUUGAUACCAAGUUUUACGCCUAAUUUCAUAAUUGUGAGGUGCCAAUCUACAUUAAUGAGUGAAUAGUAAUCGCCAGUUGCAGCAACUAAAUGGUAAAUGUGAAUAGUAAUCACUGGAUGAAAAAAUAAAGAUGGCCUCUUUUGAGGUAAUUUGAUGUUCUGAUCGUAGUGGUAAAAGCUUUUUUUUUCUGUGAUUUGAAGUCUUUAAACCUUAUUUUUACGCGUUUGAAGAUAAUUUAUAGUGUUUAUUAGAAAAUAUUUGUGGGGCUGAAUAAAUUAAAAUUUUAGAUAUGUACAUGUAUGGUUGUGGCAUGUCCUGCUGCCACUCAUUCUAAACGAGCUUAUUAGCUAUCUAAAUGUCAUGAUCUCAGCAUAAACCUACGGUUCUGGGGCAGAGUUCUUCAUUUGCGCUGCAUUGCGCACCAACAAACAGAGACAUCCACUUAUUUUACCUAUGGAUUUCCAUUCGGCCCUAGUGCAAUCGCGGCACCUAGUUGGCCUUCAUUCGAGUAGGUGAAUACCUACAUGCAUGCAUCAUUUCGGUCAGCCAAUCACUUGACUGAUGAAGAUUCAAUCCCUUGACAAUCUAUCUUUGAUUUAAAGUCCAUAAGCUUGUCGAUCUAAUUAAAAUGCUCCGAUUCUUAUAUAGUUUUUGAUUCUUAAAAUCUUACAAAAAAUAUUUAUCUUCCUGAAGGUUAAAUGCUAUAUAAAUUGUGGGAUCAAGAAGUAUCGGAUAGAUUAUAAAAAGAGAAAUAUCUCAUUCAAAUAUAGAUUCUUUCAUUACAUUGAGUUUCACAGAAGAAUGUUCCAUUUUUACAUAUUUGCUACUUAGAGAUGAUGUUAAACUGGCUAUUAUGGGCUUUGAACUUCACUGGAUCAGCUUCAGAUACUUCACAAUCCUACUAAUCAAUUAAACCAGAAAACAACAAUUUAAUUAGCCCAGUAGCAUGCAUUAGACCUAGUGUAAUACAAAAUCUCAUCCUAUAAAAUGAUUUGAUAAUUUUACAAUCAAUUUAUCUGUGAAUUAUUUUAAAUUGGGAUCUUAUCUAGAUUCUGUCUACUAUAUAAACAUGUAGGAUCUAUUCCUACUAUAUAUCUUAUGCCUUGAAUUCAUAAUAAAUCGGGUUUAAGUAAAAAAAAAUCGAUAAUUAAAUCAAAAUAUAAAAGGAACAUAUACACAAUACAAAUAAUUUCGAGUAUAAAGGGUCAUUAGUGGUUAGGUUUUUGGGUAAAUAAAAGAGUUGGUGUGCUACCUAAUACAGGAGAAAAAAAAAAAUCUUUUAGGGAAAGAUUUCCAAGGUUUUAGGUAAGGCUGAUGGAUUUUUUCUUUUUUUUUUUUAUAAUACUGAUUAAGAUUUAAAUUGGAAAUUUCAUUCUUUGAGGCUAAAAUCUAAACCCAUAAAGAUUCACAAAAUUAUAUAGGGUAUGCAUGAGAAAAAUACACAGGAAAGGGCCAAAGGAGAACGCUGCUGGAGCUUAAGUAAGAAACAAAUUAAGUAAAUAAUUAAUUAAAUUACCUGUGUUUUAAUUAGCAUUGCCGCGGCUUCCAGCGGACUUGUAAUCAGGAAAGGGAACACGACCAGACUCGAUGUGCUUAACAUCUUCAAUGAGGACUUCAUAGUGUCUCUUGACCUCUUCUGCUGAUUUCCCACCAACAGCUUUGGCUAUAUUUUGCCAGCGGUCUGGUGUUUCUUUAUCAUACAAGGCUAGAGCCUUCUCAAACAGUUUGUUUUCCCUUGGAGACCAAGAGGACCUAGAGUUUCUCGAAGCUUGAUAGCUUGAAGACAUAUCUAAUCUGAUCAAAGCAAAGGAGGUUUUGCUUGAAGAAGAUGGUUUGUGCUUGGUUUGGUGGGUUAUUAAUAUUAGAGAAGAAUGGUGGGUUGGAUCCAGUUGGAGAAUCUAUGGUACUAAUAUGGUUUGGUAUGAGUAUUGAGUACGACGAGUCUUCUUUGGAACCACAAGAAGGAAAAGGGCAAAGGUACAGA
rnacentral:misc_RNA from 1 species